rnacentral:misc_RNA from 1 species
GCAAACUUGGUCAUUUAGAGGAAGUAAAAGUCGUAACAAGGUUUCCGUAGGUGAACCUGCGGAAGGAUCAUUAUCGAAGCGGUAUAGUGGGCAUAUGCCUACCUAUCCCUCACCCUAUGUGUACCCGACCACUUGUUGCUUCGGCGGGCCCAGCCUGUACCGGCUGGCCGGUCCCCACGGGGGCGGGCUAGAGUCCGCCGGAGGCUCCUACGCUCUGUAAAUGAUGUUGUCUGAGCUCUUUAUGCGAAUAUGUAAAACUUUCAACAACGGAUCUCUUGGUUCUGGCAUCGAUGAAGAACGCAGC